rnacentral:tRNA from 1 species
AGGGAUGUAGUUCAGUAGUAGAGCACUUGUCUAGCAUGCCUGAGGCUUUGGGUUCAAUUCCCAGCACUUCAA